AACGAACGCUGGCGGCAUGCCUAACACAUGCAAGUCGAACGAGACCUUCGGGACUAGUGGCGCACGGGUGCGUAACGCGUGGGAACCUGCCCUUAGGUUCGGAAUAACUCCCCGAAAGGGGUGCUAAUAUCGGAUAAUGUCUUCGGACCAAAGAUUUAUCGCCUUUGGAUGGGCCCGCGUUGGAUUAGCCAGUUGGUAGGGUAAAAGCCUACCAAGGUGACGAUCCAUAGCUGGUCUGAGAGGAUGAUCAGCCACACUGGGACUGAGACACGGCCCAGACUCCUACGGGAGGCAGCAGUGGCGAAUAUUGGACAAUGGGCGAAAGCCUGAUGCAGCAAGGCCGCGUAAGUGAUGAAGGCCUUAGGGAAGUAAAGCUCGUUUACCCGGGAUGAUAAUGACAGUACCGGGAGAAUAAGCUCCGGCUAACUCCGUG
rnacentral:rRNA from 1 species